AUUGAACGCUGGCGGCAUGCCUUACACAUGCAAGUCGAACGGCAGCACGGGAGCAAUCCUGGCGGCGAGUGGCGAACGGGUGAGUAAUAUAUCGGAACGUGCCCAGUAGUGGGGGAUAGCCCGGCGAAAGCCGGAUUAAUACCGCAUGAGACCUGAGGGUGAAAGCGGGGGAUCGCAAGACCUCGCGCUAUUGGAGCGGCCGAUAUCAGAUUAGCUAGUUGGUGGGGUAAAGGCCUACCAAGGCAACGAUCUGUAGUUGGUCUGAGAGGACGACCAGCCACACUGGGACUGAGACACGGCCCAGACUCCUACGGGAGGCAGCAGUGGGGAAUUUUGGACAAUGGGCGCAAGCCUGAUCCAGCAAUGCCGCGUGCAGGAAGAAGGCCUCGGU
rnacentral:rRNA from 1 species